rnacentral:snRNA from 1 species
CUAAUCCUGGCCAUUAAAUUGAA